ensembl:snoRNA
ACGCACUGCCUUUGGGCCCUCCCCCCACCCCUUGUGCCUGUCCAUGGUCCCAGGGCUUCGGGGCCAGAGAAAAUGCUUGCGCAUAACUGGGGCCACCUGCCCCUCAUGAAUGGCCCUUUUAACCACAAGCAACAAAG